UUCGCCAUGAGCAACUCUAAGUGUCCAUGGGACACCGAAUCGGUAACCCGUGGCUACCAUAAGUGCU
ensembl:ncRNA M01D7.10 ncRNA